rnacentral:rRNA from 1 species
CGAAGGUGGCAAGCGUUACUCGGAAUUACUAGGCGUAAAGGGCAGGUAGGUGGCUUGAUAAGUCUGUUGUGUAAGCUCCCGGCUUAACUGGGAGAGGUCAACAGAUACUGUCGAGCUAGAGUAUGGGAGAGGGUUCUGGAAUUCCCGGUGUAGCGGUGAAAUGCGCAGAUAUCGGGAGGAACACCAAUGGCGAAAGCAGGAGCCUGGACCAUUACUGACACUCAGCUGCGAAAGCUAGGGGAGCAAACAGGAUUAGAUACCCUGGUAGUCCUAGCUGUAAACGAUGCACAUUAGGCGUGAGGGGUAUCGACCCCCUUCGUGCCGACGCUAACGCAUUAAAUGUGCCGCCUGGGGAGUACGGCCGCAAGGUUG